rnacentral:rRNA from 1 species
GACGAACGCUGGCGGCGUGCCUAAUACAUGCAAGUCGAACGAGAGCACCCGGUGCUUGCCCUGGUCAAUCUAGUGGCGAACGGGUGAGUAACACGUGGGUAACCUGCCCAUCAGAGGGGGAUAACAUCCGGAAACGGAUGCUAAAACCGCAUAGGUCUUCGAACCGCAUGGUUUGAAGAGGAAAAGAGGCGCAAGCUUCUGCUGAUGGAUGGACCCGCGGUGCAUUAGCUAGUUGGUGGGGUAACGGCUCACCAAGGCCGUGAUGCAUAGCCGACCUGAGAGGGUGAUCGGCCACAUUGGGACUGAGACACGGCCCAAACUCCUACGGGAGGCAGCAGUAGGGAAUCUUCCGCAAUGGACGCAAGUCUGACGGAGCAACGCCGCGUGAGUGAAGAAGGUUUUCGGAUCGUAAAACUCUGUUGUUAGAGAAGAACAAGUGCUAGAGUAACUGUUAGCGCCUUGACGGUAUCUAACCAGAAAGCCACGGCUAACUACGUG